GCCAGUGUGGUUUAGUGGUUUGAGCAUUGGACUAUGACUCUGAAGACCAGGGUUCAAAUCCUUGCCUGGCC